rnacentral:rRNA from 1 species
UACGAAGGGGGCGAGCGUUGUUCGGAAUUACUGGGCGUAAAGGGCGCGUAGGCGGCCCCUUUUGUCGCGUGUGAAAGCCCCGGGCUCAACCUGGGAAUGGCAAUGGAAACUGGCGGGCUUGAGUGUGGCAGAGGGGGGUGGAAUUCCGCGUGUAGCAGUGAAAUGCGUAGAGAUGCGGAGGAACACCGAUGGCGAAGGCAGCCCCCUGGGCCAACACUGACGCUCAGGCACGAAAGCUAGGGGAGCAAACGGG